GCCAGACUCCUACGGGAGGCAGCAGUGGGGAAUAUUGCACAAUGGGGGAAACCCUGAUGCAGCGACGCCGCGUGGGUGAAGAAGUAUUUCGGUAUGUAAAGCCCUAUCAGCAGGGAAGAAGAUGACAGUACCUGACUAAGGAGCCCCGGCUAACUACGUGCCAGCAGCCGCGGUAAUACGUAGGGGGCAAGCGUUAUCCGGAGUUACUGGGUGUAAAGGGAGCGUAGGUGGCAAGGCAAGCCAGAAGUGAAACCCCGGGGCUUAACCCCGCGGAUUGCUUUUGGAACUGUCUGGCUGGAGUGCAGGAGGGGCAGGCGGAAUUCCUGGUGUAGCGGUGAAAUGCGUAGAUAUCAGGAGGAACACCGGUGGCGAAGGCGGCCUGCUGGACUGUAACUGACACUGAGGCUCGAAAGCGUGGGGAGCAAACAGGAUUAGAUACCCCUGUA
rnacentral:rRNA from 1 species